rnacentral:rRNA from 1 species
AUUGAACGCUGGCGGCAUGCCUUACACAUGCAAGUCGAACGGUAACAGGUCUUCGGAUGCUGACGAGUGGCGAACGGGUGAGUAAUACAUCGGAACGUGCCUAGUAGUGGGGGAUAACUACUUGAAAGAGUGGCUAAUACCGCAUGAGAUCUACGGAUGAAAGCAGGGGAUCGCAAGACCUUGUGCUACUAGAGCGGCCGAUGGCAGAUUAGGUAGUUGGUGGGAUAAAAGCUUACCAAGCCAACGAUCUGUAGCUGGUCUGAGAGGACGAUCAGCCACACUGGGACUGAGACACGGCCCAGACUCCUACGGGAGGCAGCAGUGGGGAAUUUUGGACAAUGGGCGAAAGCCUGAUCCAGCAAUGCCGCGUGCAGGAUGAAGGCCUUCGGGUUGUAAGCUGCUUUUGUACGGAACGAAAAGCCCCGGGUUAAUACCCUGGGGUCAUGACGGUACUGUAAGAAUAAGCACCGGCUAACUACGUGCCAGCAGCCGCCGUAA